AGCUGGUCUGAGUGCAGUGGUGUUUACAACUAAUUGAUCACAACCAGUUACAGAUUUAUUUGUUCCUUUACUAUUCCCACUAUUUCAUUCUACUAACCUUUG
ensembl:misc_RNA Y_RNA Y RNA